rnacentral:snRNA from 1 species
GUGUUCACUUUGGCAGCACAUAUACUAAAAUUGGAGCAAUACAGAUAUUAGCAUGACCCCUGAGCAAGGAUCACACACAAAUUCUUGAAGCAGUCCAGAUUAAA